AAUAUAUUUUUUUGGAGCGGAAUUUUAUAUAAUUUUAAAACAAUAAGAACAAGUUAGUAUAAUAACAUAUUAAAGAGUGCCUCAAAUUAGUGUCUUUUCCUGUUAUAAUUUGAGUACAUGCUGUCAGAAAAAACAUACAUUGUUGCUUGUUACUAUUAUGGAAGCCAAAAGUAACGAACAAAUAAAUUUACCAGAAGUAAUUGUUAAAACAGAACCUAUAGAUCAAAACAAUGCUAAGUCUGAUUUACAACAGUCCCAAAUACAACCAGUUUGUACAGAAAAAGAAUGUGAGCAGCGUAUUGAAUGUACCACAGAAUCUCAAGAGAUUGAAACUCGAGCACUUUUAUCCAAAUGUGUAUUUUGUGGGAAAACAUUUACCAUCGGCGAUGAUCCUAAACUCUUGGAGUGUUUACAUGCAGCUUGUACUACAUGUGUCAAUAAUAAAAUUGCAGAUCAUAACACAUCUGGUGAUCUUGAUGUUUUAUUGGAGAGCAAUGUUAUUGCUUGUCAAGUUUGCAAUGUUACCAGUCAAAUAGAAAAUUUAAUUGAGAAUAGAUUUAUUUCAAAGAUCAUCGAAGAAGAUAUUAAUACGGGAACAGAUGACGAAUCUAUAGAAACAGAAGAAGAAAAAAAAUGUACUAGUUGUCACGAUAAUGCUAUUGCUACUAGUUGGUGUGUGGAAUGCGAAGAAUUCAUUUGUCAAAGCUGCGUCAUGGCUCAUCAAAGGCUAAAGAUAACAAAAGAUCAUACAAUUAAACCAAAGGAAGAAGUUGCAAAUGACAGAGAUAAUAUUAAAAAGGGUAUUAAAAAGAUACCUGGUUAUUUAUUUUGUACUAUUCAUUCUCAUGAACAAUUAUCCUUAUUUUGUCAGACCUGCGAUAGAUUAACUUGCAGGGAUUGUCAAUUAAGUGAUCAUCGUGACCAUAAAUAUAAAUUUAUCCAUGAAAUUGCUGCAGAAACAAAGUCUUCUGUCUCAACCCUUUUAAAGGAAGUUAGUUAUAAACGAGUCUUAUUACGAAGUGCUAUGAAAGUUAUAGAAGAUAGACAAAUUUUAAUUGUGGAAAAAAAAAAGACUUUAGUUCAAGAAAUAACUCAGAUGGUAGUACAAUUAACAAAUGCUAUCAAUACAAGAGGUAAAUUAUUAGUCAUGCGCUUAAAUGAAGUUUGCGAUCAGAAACAAAAUACAUUAAAUGAAAAGAAGGUCGCUUUGGAUCAAUUGUCUAAACUUACAGAUCAUUGUAUACAGUUUGUUAGUCAUGCUUUGAGUAAGGGUACAGAUAUGGAACUUUUGUAUAGUAAAAAAUCUGUUACAAGUCAUUUACAACGUAUAAAAAGUCGACGUGCUGAUAUACCUAAUCCAGAAAUACCAGUUAGAAUACAUUUAUCUUUUGAUAAAGUACCAGAUUUAAUAAAAGUUGUUUCAUCUAUUGGAGCAAUAGUAGUAGAUGGAAGAGUAUAUCCUUCAAUAUCUCCAUCUGCUAGUUCAAGUUCACAAUCUGUUCCAUUUCACGAGCCACAGUCUGAACAAAAACAAGCAAAUAUUACUAUAAAUACACCUGUAGAUAAUCCAGUUAUUACUGUUCCUCUUCCUGUUGUGACUCAACAGCCCAACAAUACACAACAAAAUUCUUAUCAACAAGUUCCACUUCAUCUUACAACUCAACAACAACAACAACAACAAGUACCAUCUCAAAACUACAUGCAACAUUUCUCUGCACACAAUAUGCCUCCACGUUUAUCUCCACAAAUACAGCAUACUUAUAAUAAUAAAUUGCAACAGCCACUUAUGAUGCCACAACGUCCAUUAAGUGGUUGUCAUCAACAACAAGUUACAUCAUCUACGCAUCCACAUCAACAAGUACAUAUAGAACAACUUGGUCAAAAUACAAGUUUACGUGGUCUUUUGGCACAUAAUCCUCCUCCAUUUCGACCUACUAUUAAUAAUGUACCAUAUCGAUUAUUACCAUAUCGAUAUCCUCCUGGAACUUCUCAGAGACCUGUGCCACCGCAUACAUACCAACCAACAAAUACACCUGUAGUAUCAGGUAUUCGAUUACAGCAAUGUAAUCCCACUACUCCGUCAACUCAACACAUAAAUUAUACUGCAAUGCAACAACCUGCACGGUGGCAUAUUCCUCAGAAUGUUAAUGUAUGUCUUCCAUUCUAUGGUGCUCGACAUCAAUCUACACCACUUAUGACAGUUCCUGUUAAUGAUACAUAUAAAAUAACAUUGAAAAAUCAACAAUCAAAUAAUCAAAAGUACAGUAAUACUAAUGUUACUACUAAUUCAGAUAUGCCGCCACAAUCACAAAAUACAGUAUCUGUGGGACAUGCAGUAAGUUCAUCGGUACCCAAAACACCCAGUCCUGUACCACCUGGCAAAACAGAUGAAACAGAGAAAAGUUUAGAUAAAUUUUGUCAAAAAUCAUUAAAUGAUUUAAUGCUCACUAUUGCGAAAUUAGAUAGCAAUGGUAUUGUGGUAAUACCAGAAGCUCAAAAAAAUCAAAUGGACUCUACUCAAGUAGAUAGUUCUACGGACGAAGGAAUAAAUUCAAUAGUAGCAGAAAAUUCUUCUGAUAACCCAAAAAAUACUGCAACAUCCAUGGUGAAAGAUGAUCCAAAUGAAGAUUGGUGUGCUGUAUGCAUGGAUGGUGGAGAUGCAGUAUUAUGUUGCGAUAAAUGUCCAAAAGUCUUCCAUCUUUAUUGUCAUAUCCCUAGUUUGAAAUCAUUUCCUGAUGAAAGUGAAACUUGGCAAUGUAUGCUAUGUACAAAUAUUCUUGAUUGCUCUGAUGAUCCACCUGGAGAAAAGAAGCCAAAUACUAUGAGUGCCAAGGAAUUAAGAAUAGCCCAAAGAGUUGUUCUAGAAUUAUAUUGUCAAUAUGAACAAAGUUUACCAUUUCGAGAAAUUGUAUCUUCAGAGAUAACUGAAUAUCAUCGUAUCAUCAAGAGGCCUAUUGCAUUGGAUGUAAUCAGAGAUAAAUUAAAAACUGAUCAUCCAAAUCAUUAUACAGAUUUAAGACAAGUUCUGACAGAUAUUAGAUUGAUGUUUAAAAACGCCUUUGUUUAUAAUCCCGUGGAAUCACAAGUAUACCAAGAAGCGCGUAAUUUAGAAGAAUUCUUUGAAAAAUUGUUACUCAAAUGGGCUCCAAAUUAUGCAUAUGAUGAUCCUUUUCUUUCUGCUAAUAAAGAAGAUGACGAGGAUGUUUUCCCUCCAAAUAAAAAGUAUCGGCGUAUAAUUAGUGAUUAAUAUUUAAUUAAAAUAAAAAUAAAAAUUAACACAAUUAAAAGUUUUAUGAGAAAAUAACAGAAUACUUUGCAUGAAUAUUUCUGAGAAGUAAAGUAAAACUAUGAAGUUAUAAAAAAGACACUAUUAGAUAUGCAGUAGGACCUCAGUUUAUUCGCGUCGUUGUACCUGUAAGGUAGACAAGUACGUUUGGGCACUGCACACCAUUAUAGUGGCUUUUGUGGAUAUUGAUGUACGGAACAUUACCAUACAGAAAUACAGCGUAGCGGAAAGUCCUGCAGUAGCAAAAAGGUUAACAAA
rnacentral:misc_RNA from 1 species